rnacentral:lncRNA from 1 species
GUGAAUGUAGUUUGGAACUGACCAUUUUUCAAAUGUCUAUUCAAUGAAAGUGAACAGACAGAGUCUCUCUUAGACACAGCUGAGUUGCCUCUUUGGAGGCAGAAGGGAAAUACAGCUAAUAAUGACCUUUCUUUUCUCCUCAGAAAGAGAGAUUUGUCAGCAGGCAGCCAGGCCAGCUGGGAAUGGGAGCCCUUCCCCUGGUAGGCAGUGGCUCACUUUCGAACUGCAUGGGAAGCUAGAAAGUCAUGGACAAUGCCAUGAGGGACAGAAGAGUAGUGGUUUAAGUAGAAAAAGUUCUCAUAUUUCAGGUGACAGAAAGGAUAUCCUGCUCCCCUCUGAAAAGGGGAAGACCAGCCUACAAGCCAGCCUUGGUAACUGCUUCCUUCUUCCUGUACCUUUAUAA